CCCAGGGGGCCUAGCCAGCAGCACAUGCUAGACCGGCAAGCGGCGCCCGGGCUCUCCCGGCCACGGCAGCUUUGUGUGCAGCGCCCCCGGCCGGCGCAGCCAUGCUGCAGUGUGCCAGGCGGUGGCUGAGCCUGCAAGUGCUGGGAAGGGAGAGUCGGGCGCUGCCCGCGCGAGGGGGGCCGGGGAAGCCCGGGUUGGUGCCGCAAUGCGGGAGGAGGCGGGCGAACUGGUGCCGGGCGUUGCUGGGCAGGGGAGUGUUUGGGGCAAGCGAUCGCUUAGGGGUCGCACGCACCCGGGAGCAGGGUGCGCCUCCCCUGCCUUCAGCCCAUCGCCUCCGGUCGGUCCGAGCACUGUGUUCCGGCUCGCUCCGGGAUGGAGGUGGGGCCGAGUCGGAAGAGCAGGUCACUGCCGGUGCAUCGCCUGUAGCCGACUCCCCCCCGGCGGCUGCAUCGCAGGCGGACCCGGGUCAGCUGCUGAGGAGCCGGAGGAGACGAGCCUGGGAAAGGGCCCUGUCGCCUCUGGAAAGAGUGAGCCGACUGAUACCCGAGGAGUUGCUCUCGGAAGAGAUCAGGGACAUACGGCGCGCAGACCUGGGGGAAACAAGGCAGGAGGACAGCAGUGAAAACAGCGACUCUCACCUCCAGCUGCCUGCUGCCAGUAGGUCUCCCCCCGCACAGCUGCAGAGGGAUGAAGACAAGACGCCUGUUGACACCCAUAACACAUCGGCUAAAGAUGUGCCUUUCCAAGCCGGGGACUUGAUUUUAGCAGAGUUUCGCAGAAAAACCUACACAGAGUUUAAACAUAUGCGUAACCUGACAGCUGUCGGGAAAUUGAAUAGCAACUGGGGAGUUAUUAGCCACCUGGAGAUAAUAGGCAAGCUACCGGGCCAAAUGUUUAGGACUUCUAGUGGGUUUCAGUUCCUGAUAAGGAGACCAGCCUUAGAAGAUUUUGUGCUUUUGAUGAAGAGAGGACCUACUAUUUCAUAUCCAAAGGAUAUUAGUGCAAUGCUGAUGAUGAUGGAUAUCAACCAAGGAGACACUGUGGUGGAAACUGGUACUGGGUCUGGUGGGAUGAGCUUGUUUCUAUCAAGAGCAGUUGGGCCUCGAGGACGUGUUAUAAGUUAUGAAAUCAGAAAAGAUCACCAUGCUGUAGCGAAGAAGAAUUACAGGCGCUGGCGUGAUGCAUGGGGAAUAGGACAUGCAGAAGAGUGGCCAGAUAACGUGGAUUUCAUUAAUAAGGAUAUUUUAACAGCUGCUGAGGAUAUGAAAUCUAUAACAUUUGAUGCAGUAGCUUUGGAUAUGCUUAACCCUCAGAUUGCUUUGCCUGUUGUGUAUCCAAAUCUUAAGCAGGGUGGUGUAUGUGCUGUAUACCUAGCAAAUAUCACACAGGUUAUUGAUCUGUUGGAAGGAAUACGGACAUGCCAUCUCUCUCUCUUAUGUGAAAGGAUUGUUGAGGUGACUCACAAAGAUUGGUUGGUACUCCCUGCUAAGCAGAAGGAUGGUAGGUUAGUCUCAAGAGUGGAACCUCAACAAAUUGUAGAUGAGGAACUUCAACCGAAAGAAGGUGAAGAGCUUCCUAUUCGGGAUCAAUCAGUAGUUGGAGAAAGUGACGACGUUGACACCUUAUCUACUCACCCCUAGCUCUUGUACUACUUCCUAUAAAAAAUACUGGGAGUAGUGAAGCUGAAAGUCUGGGUUGUGGAGAACAGGUUUAGCACCCAAGUCCUUUCCUACAAAUGAACUUUUUCUGGCUACAAUCAAUAUUUUUUGGGAAGCCCUUUCCUAAAUUUUGAUUGGCAGCUAUAUUAAUGCAGAAUCACUUUCUGAUUAUGUCAAACCAUAUGGUUCACUGCCUUACAUUGCUAGACCUUACCCUUGGCAAACUGGUCACACAG